rnacentral:lncRNA from 1 species
AUGAACAAUUGAUGAUAUUUUAUAUAUUGUUGUCCAUAAUUAUUAGGUCAAUGCCAGUACUGCAUAGGAGCCAGAAUAUAACAAACAGAAAGAUAUCAUAUAUUAUAUCGCUAUGUUGCAUUACAAAAAACAUGAUCCAAAGAUUACAGGAGGUUAAACUAUAUCUUGUAGUGGCCCAAUUCUUGACCUUGCAAUCAACUAUAAUGUUUGAAACAUUAAUCCUAAAAUUGGCAUUCUAAUUAUCUUGUAGUAGCUCCAAUUCUUAACCUUGCAAUCAACAUCUGAGCCAUGCAUCAUCAUUUUAUCUUGGUGACCUACAACAACAACAAUAUGAGAUGAGUAACUUAUAGUAGAGAAAAUCCGGCUAAUAGAGAAGUAAAAUUUAAAUGAGCACCAUAGAAAUGUCUGCACACGUUUUGAAUAUCCAUGGCUCAUUGAGAUAAGAAUCUGCAUAGCAAAACAGACACCUUUGAUGAAUCAGAUCUGGCUGUUCAUUAUGAAUAACUAUCAGCUUGUAUUUACUACUAAAAAUAUCCAGACAAUAUAUUAUAAUAACUACGAGAUGACUUCAGCAACUGAAUAAUGACAACCAAUAGUAUCAACUAUUGGUAAUUAGAACAUCUCCAUUGUCAAGAGGUCUGCACAUUACUCCCGUACUACUCAUCUUGGGAUGAUUCAUUAGUCAUUCUUUCUAUGGUGUAUAAGCAGAAAUCUCAUUGCCAACAACUUGAAAAUCUUUAAAUAAUCUGCAUCAUGCAAAAUUUCGUAAUUACCUGAAAAUUACAAAGUCACAAAUUAUAAUUUCCUGAUCCAUGAAUAAAAUUCUCAAAACCUGCAGAAGCAACAACACAAAAAAAGCAUCACCAUAUUCGGGAUAAUUUGAGUUAUCAACUGAUGGCUACAUGUUCUCUCCAAUAAGACAUGGCAAGAUGCAACCAAACUGAAAGCCUGAACAGAAAGAAAAGUAGAUCACCACCCUAUCUAAUCUAGUGCAGAACACUCUGUAUACUAUGUUAUCUCAUAGCUAGGAGAUUUCAUCUCAACUCUAGCCAAAUUUAGGCAAACGAUGAUACAUCUAAACUAUUUUCGAUAACCAAGGCAAUGCCUAUGUAAUACUGAAUGCUUAAACCAAGCCAUGUGACACACAUAGUGCCCAAAUAGCAUGCAACAUCAAGGGUAUUGUUACGUACCGGCUUAUUACCCC